AUUGAACGCUGGCGGCAUGCCUUACACAUGCAAGUCGAACGGCAGCGGACCUUCGGGUGCCGGCGAGUGGCGAACGGGUGAGUAAUAUAUCGGAGCGUACCUUUCAGUGGGGGAUAACGUAGCGAAAGUUACGCUAAUACCGCAUAUUCUGUGAGCAGGAAAGCAGGGGAUCGCAAGACCUUGCGCUGAUUGAGCGGCCGAUAUCAGAUUAGCUAGUUGGUGAGGUAAAGGCUCACCAAGGCGACGAUCUGUAGCGGGUCUGAGAGGAUGAUCCGCCACACUGGAACUGAGACACGGUCCAGACUCCUACGGGAGGCAGCAGUGGGGAAUUUUGGACAAUGGGCGCAAGCCUGAUCCAGCCAUGCCGCGUGAGUGAAGAAGGCCUCGGUUGUAAG
rnacentral:rRNA from 1 species